GCUAGCGUGGUGCAGGCGCACAGGCAGACCGGUUGUUAGGGCGGAGGGUGUGAGGGAAGGCAGUAGGCGGAGAGAGGAUUAACCUGCGAACUCUAUUAGCAGCUCUUGAGUAAUCCAGCACACAGGGAAACGAUUAGAACAAGCAGUCAAGCCCAGAUCUGUGAGGGACGCUGAAGACAACAGCGCAAGAGAAGGCAUUGCAAGUGUUACUGUGGUUACAACUGACGAGAUGAGAAUUGUACCACGUUAGAGGAAUUUGACCUAGAUGAACUGCAAUGAUUUUGGAAGAGGAGCCACAUUUAAAAAAAACUGCAAAUGAACGUGAGGCACCAAGAAGGAAUAGUUUACUUGUCACAGUCAUAUUGGAUAUAAUUUGUGACAAUAAGAGAUGUUUCAGUAUUGGUGAACUGUAUCAUACUCUGCAAAUGUAGUCUGGAUCAUAACUAACUGCAUUGAAAAGAAGGAAUUUUCUUCAUCUUGCCUAGUCCUUCAUCAAAUGCCCUAAAUUGAUAUCCUUUGGUUGUCAGGCUUUCGGCCAACUUAAUUGGCUGUGUCUAGAUCUGUCAUUAGUUUGAACUUCUCUGAAUUCUCCUCUUGACAUACUGCAAAAAACAUAAAACAGUUGCAAUUGAUAUUGCUUCUUAUGAGCUACUGAAAGACAAUGUGUCUAUGAUGGUUUGUAUGCAUGUGCGAAAACAAUAUGCUGUUUUGAUUUGUGCGUCGGGUAGUGAGCUAGAUUGCAAAUAAAUGUUUGGAUGUACAGAGCCUGUCUAUUGUUGGAAAAAAAGACACACUUUGUCAGAGCUUUUCAUCUUGUACUCAUCAGAACAGUUUGCAAGAAUGCCAAUUCAAAGGGGAAGACCAAUUUAUAUGCUGUAUAGUUGAAGAGUGCUGCUUGAUGACAAUUGUAUUCUGGUAUAGGAACUACUUCAGAGAAUGCAGCUGUUGAUUCCUUUCCAAAAAGGUUCAGGCCAAACCAGGAACCCUGCACAUCUCUUAUAAAUGUGGCGAUCGACAAAUAAUGCUGCAUAUUAAUGAAUAUCCUCUGUAAAGAAUAAGUGCCUUGAACUCAGCAACUGAGGAAACAAUCACUUGACCCUAGGGGUUUGAAAUUGCUAAAUAAUGGAGUAGAACAAAGGUUUGCAAUCUUUUAAUAGCAAUCAGCCAUCCUAUUGAAGAACAACAAAAAUUUUGAAUUAAUUGAACUGAAACAUUAGAAUUAGGCAGUGGAACUCAACAUUACAACAUGAGAAAUAAACUAAAAAUAAUCCUACAACCAUUCAUGUAUUGGUAUCUUUUCUAGUUUUCAUUGAAAUCCAUAGGAUAUCCAUUGGCACCUUCCACAAUCUCAAUGUCCUAGUGUGCUAAAGUAAUUUAUUACUUUUGAAGGGUCGGUAUUUGUAUUAUCUGAAUAUUGUAUUGCAUUCUGUUGAGAAUGGGAAAUUAAAAUAGUAAUUUAUAAAA